rnacentral:tRNA from 1 species
CUUACCUUAGUUUAAAUAGAAUAGUGGUUUUGGGGACAACUGGUUUCAUAGCUUGAAAGGUUUGG